UCCUACGGGAGGCAGCAGUGAGGAAUAUUGGACAAUGGUCGGAAGACUGAUCCAGCCAUGCCGCGUGCAGGAUGAAGGUCUUAUGGAUUGUAAACUGCUUUUGUAAGGGAAGAAUAAGGGCUACGCGUAGUUUGAUGACGGUACCUUACGAAUAAGCAUCGGCUAACUCCGUGCCAGCAGCCGCGGUAAUACGGAGGAUGCGAGCGUUAUCCGGAAUCAUUGGGUUUAAAGGGUCUGUAGGCGGGCUGGUAAGUCAGAGGUGAAAGCGCUUAGCUCAACUAAGCAACUGCCUUUGAAACUGUUGGUCUUGAAUGGUUGUGAAGUAGUUGGAAUGUGUAGUGUAGCGGUGAAAUGCUUAGAUAUUACACAGAACACCGAUAGCGAAGGCAUAUUACUAACAAUUAAUUGACGCUGAUGGACGAAAGCGUGGGGAGCGAACAGGAUUAGAUACCCUGGUAGUCCACGCUGUAAACGAUGGAUACUAGCUGUUUGGUUUAAGGAUUGAGUGGCUAAGCGAAAGUGAUAAGUAUCCCACCUGGGGAGUACGUUCGCAAGAAUGAAACUCAAAGGAAUUGACGGGGGCCCGCACAAG
rnacentral:rRNA from 1 species